AAAACGACUCCCGAGCUGCUUGGAUGCAAUAACAUUGACAUUUAGAAUGCGGACCGAGACCUGGGCCAUUCAUAAUUGCAAAAAUGCCAUACAGAGCGGCGAGAAAACCCCAAAUGAAUCCGUAACCAAAACCAAAGUCACAGAUGCCAGAAACAAAACCGAGUCGCGACACAGAAACUGCCAAACGAAAUCGAAAUUGAAAUCGAACGCACUGAAAGUCCACAAAUCCACUAACCUUGUGCCCCGCUUGGGCCAUAAAAAGCUGCGUAUCGAUUUCGUUGCAUAGAGAAAAACCAUUAAUAAAUACUUUAGGUGCAAAUU
ensembl:ncRNA lncRNA:CR45370 long non-coding RNA:CR45370